UUCUGGGUAUAAAGGCAGCUGGGAAAGGGGGUCUUGGGUGUUGGAGACUCUGGCCUGACUGUGAAGAAGAGUCUUACUGGAGGUGUUAGUUACCGCCUCCAGGGUGGUGGUCAGAGGAGAUGCCUGCAUCUCAUGGCAGUCAGAACCUCUGUGGCCUCCCGGAGAGUGUACAUUUGGACAAGUGCUGAGGGCUUUGUGGCAGGAAAACAAAUGAACCUUUCCCAAACAAAAGAAGACAAAUAAAUGGCUUAAGAGGAACCUAGAAAAUCCAUGCCACAGUGACCAGCUGUGCACCAUGACACUGGCUGUAAUCCCAGCACUUGGUGAUGGAGGGACCAGGGAUGGAAUUCAGGAUCUCUUGAAGGCUAAGUACAAGCUCUACUAACUGAUCCAAGAGGCCAGAGACCCUAUCUGCUUAACCACUGGUGUGUGCUCAGAGUAUCUUGGAGUAUGCAGAAGGUGCUCAACAGUGCUCAGCAAG